rnacentral:rRNA from 1 species
AUUGAACGCUGGCGGCAGGCCUAACACAUGCAAGUCGAACGAGUGGCGGACGGGUGAGUAAUGUCUGGGAACCUGCCUGAUGGCGGGGGCUAACUACUGGAAACGGUAGCCAAUACCGCAUACCAUCGGAUGUGUCCAGAUGGGAUUAGCUAGUGGGUGGGGUGACGGCUCACCUAGGCGACAAUCCCUAGCUGGUCUGAGAGGAUGCCCAGCCACACUGGAACGGAGACACGAUCCAGACUCCUACGGGAGGCAGCAGUGGGGAAUAUUGCACAAUGGGCGCAAGCCGGAUGCAACCAUGCCGCGUGUAUGAGGAAGGCGUUCGGGUUGUAAAGUACGUUCAGCGGGGAGGCGUUACCCGCAGAAGAAGCGCCGGCUAACUCCGUGCCAGCAGCCGCGGUAAUAC